CACAAGCAAAAGCUGGACUUCCAUUGGCUCCUCUAGCGAAAGAGCACAAAAUUACUGUCUGUCUUUAUUCCCUAUGAGCAGAGUAUCACAUAGAAGGAUAAUGGAAGCAGAAAGAAAGAAAAUGGAGUUAGGGUUUUUAAUUAAGGGAAGGGUCUAAUUCUAUCCAGAUGUGAUUAAUGUUGUAUAUCUGCCACGCAAUUAACCCUAAACAACCCCAAUGCUGUAUAGAAUAGAAAAAAAUAUGUGGAGAAUGUGUUUAUGCAAUGACAACAAACUGUUACAUGGCAGCUAUCAGCCAAACUUGCUUGGAAAAAAGAAGGGUAUGUUCACCUGUCAAAAACAGAGAGAAGAGAGAUCCUAUAUUCACACCUAAUAUUAGUCGAAUUAUCAUUGUAGAACCCACAAAAAGAAAGGACAUCAACUUGAGAAUCUAGCUCAUGCCAACGGCAAACCAGUAUUUGAUCUUGAGAGCCAAAAAAGAAGAACAGCAAAAGAAGACGAGUAGUACUCUGAAGCACGGCCUUGCUAUUCGUUUAAAGCUCCACAGCAUGCACUACAAACAUAAUGGUAACUGCUUGAGGUAAGAGCUCAUCUAUUUUAGAUUAAAGACGAGAAUUCACCGGGAAAUCAACCGUGUGUUCAGCCUUGUAUCUCCCUUCUGCAGAAAAAUCAAAACAGGUAUGAUUAUGAAAUCUGGAAACCAAUUCAUAGAUAAAGGUCAUGAGUGUCAGGGCCCUGUUUCUUGGUGCCAAAAAUGUGCAAUUGGGUGCCAAGGCAGGCAGUUGGCAUAGGCAUGCUUGGCACGUGGGACAGUUGAGCGUUGAAGGAAAAUGUUAUCUUGAAGGCUUGUUGGCAAUGUUUGAUUUUAUUCUGUUAUAUUUUUUCUUCAUCUGCGCCUUUUAAAGCAUGGGUGCUUUGUGUUUCAAGCCCCAAUAAACUCGGGUGCUUUUCUAUGUUUUCGCCUUUGACAUUUCUUUCUAUAUGUGUUAUCUUAGUUUCUGAUUUAUAGGCUGUUAGCCCCGUGUAGGAAUUGACUCUUUCAAGAAUUGGACUCCUAUCACGCAGCAGAAUAUUUUACUUGUUCAAAGCAAAUGAUUGAUUAGGCUACACACCGGUCGUGCCAAUUCAGUGGAUGGUCGGUCGAGACACUGAGUUCGCAGUUGCUUGGUAUAGUUCUUGAAGCCACAAUCCUUACCAAGACCUUCACAGUAUCUAC